rnacentral:snRNA from 1 species
AUCGCUUCUCGGCUCUUUAGAGCUAAGAUGAAAGUGUAGUGUCUGUUCUUAUCAGUUUAAUAUCUGAUAUGUUCUCGAUGUGAGAACUUUAUAUUAAAUGGAUUUUUGGAACAGGGAGAUGGAACAGGAGCUUGCUCUUUCCACUCCAUGCAUCAGCCUGGUAUUGCAGUACUUCCAGGUGUGGUGCGCCUCCC